rnacentral:rRNA from 1 species
UACGUAGGGCGCGAGCGUUGUCCGGAAUUAUUGGGCGUAAAGAGCUCGUAGGCGGCCUGUUGCGUCUGCUGUGAAAUCCCGAGGGCUUAACCCUGGGCCUGCAGUGGAUACGGGCAGGCUGGAGGCAGGCAGGGGAGAACGGAAUUCCCGGUGUAGCGGUGAAAUGCGCAGAUAUCGGGAGGAACACCGAGGCGAGGAGGUCGCGGCCUGGUCCGU